GAUGAACGCUGGCGGCGUGCCUAACACAUGCAAGUCGAGCGGAUAGAUGGUGCUUUUGCCUGGAUCCCGCGGGGGGCGGGUGAGUGAUUCACAGGAGUAUCCCUGGCAUUGAGUGGUGACAUCCUGAAGCGACUGCGGAUACUACAUACGACCAGAUGGUGAAACGGGGGGGUCUUUGGACAUCACCGUAUCUGCUGACACUAGUCGGGGUUAGCUAGGUGGUUGGGUAAGUGGCUACUAAGGCGGCGAUCCGUGACUGGUCUGAGUGGAUGAUCGGUCACACGGGAACUGAGACAGGGUCCAGACUCCUACGGGAGGCAGCAGUGGGGAAUAUUGGGCAAUGGGCGAAAGCCUGAUCCAGCCAUGCCGCGUGUGUGAAGAAGGUCUUCGGAUUGUAAAGCACUUUAAGUUGGGAGGAAGGGCAGUAAGUUAAUACCUUGCGGUUUUGACAGUACCAACAGAAUAAGCACCGGCUAACUACGUG
rnacentral:rRNA from 1 species